UACGAAGGGGGCUAGCGUUGUUCGGAAUUACUGGGCGUAAAGCGCACGUAGGCGGAUAUUUAAGUCAGGGGUGAAAUCCCAGAGCUCAACUCUGGAACUGCCUUUGAUACUGGGUAUCUUGAGUAUGGAAGAGGUAAGUGGAAUUGCGAGUGUAGAGGUGAAAUUCGUAGAUAUUCGCAGGAACACCAGUGGCGAAGGCGGCUUACUGGUCCAUAACUGACGCUGAGGUGCG
rnacentral:rRNA from 1 species